GUGUGUGCGCUGGGGUGGGGGCCGGGGAUGGGGAGGCAGAGGGCCAUCCCAGGGGGAGGCUCAGCGUCCUUGUCCACGCCCCCUCACUAGUGCCACAA
rnacentral:pre_miRNA from 1 species